rnacentral:tRNA from 1 species
GCCGCGUUCGUCUAGAGGCCUAGGACGCCGCCCUUUCACGGCGGUAGCACGGGUUCGAAUCCCGUACGCGGUACCC